rnacentral:rRNA from 1 species
GCAGCCGCCGCGGGAAUACGUAGGUCCCGAGCGUUGUCCGGAUUUAUUGGGCGUAAAGCGAGCGCAGGCGGUUAGAUAAGUCUGAAGUUAAAGGCUGUGGCUUAACCAUAGUACGCUUUGGAAACUGUUUAACUUGAGUGCAAGAGGGGAGAGUGGAAUUCCAUGUGUAGCGGUGAAAUGCGUAGAUAUAUGGAGGAACACCGGUGGCGAAAGCGGCUCUCUGGCUUGUAACUGACGCUGAGGCUCGAAAGCGUGGGGAGCAAACAGGAUUAGAGACCCCGGUAGUCCCUGUCUCUUAUACA